GCUCUCGGCCAGGGGCUGCUCUGAACGGGCCCCGGAGAUGCUGCAGCCCGGGCAGAGCCCGCUGACAUCCCAAAACCACCCGAGGAACAGCUGGCAGGGCCGGGAGCGCCGGCACGUGGGGGCUGCAGAGGAGCUCCGACAGCAAUUCCCGGUGCCCGCCCCCUGGAGCUGCCACACGGCCACCAGAAAUUCCAUCCCGAGCAGUGCCCUCGAGAUGCCUUAAAAUGCAAGGUGGGCGUUAGGUGGAGUUUUGUUUGGAUGAAGUUUGGAGUUUUCCAGGGAGCCAGCUGGAGCUGCAGAACGGAUGGGAAGCUCCCACAGUGAGAAGAACAUGAACUCACAACCAUCAAGGCCUGGCAGUUCCCUGCAGCGAGAGCUCAGUGCACAUCCAGGAGGCAAUUCCAGCAUCUGAAAGGAAGAGAGCAAGAAGAAAAGGGGACUUUUGCAAUCAAAGCCUGAAGCUGAGGAGCCCAAAAGCUCUGGAGUCUGCUCUGGAACAAAAGGAUACUCCAGGGGAGCUGCAAGAGGAAUGUCAGUCAUCAGGAAUGUCAGCUUCACCUCCUUGGCGUCGCCUCGUUAGUCCAGGAGAUAAUUAAUGCGGAGAGAAUUAAUCUGGUCAGCGGCAGAAGAUCAUCGCAGCCAAACAUCCUCCUUGCCACAGGACACUGCCACCCCUGUGGCCUGUUGUUGAUCAAGAACUACUUCCCAAACUCAGUCAUUCCAUCUAAACCACAGCAGCACAGUUUGGAGGGACAGAAGUUUUCAGCCUCGUGUGAAGGAAGACAGAAACAUCACUGGGAGAAACUCCUGAAGUUUAAAAUCCUAUUCCUCACUUCUUUGACUCAUGAACCUCUUAAAAUCCAGUCUGGAUUGUGCAGAGGAGUUCCUUGGUCCCACUUGGAAACUGAUCACCCCAAAACAUCCACAAAAGCCAUUAAACAGUUAUUACAACUGAUUCCAUUAAUUACUAUGGAAAAGACAAUACAAAUCAACUGGAAAAAAUUUGGCUCAACUUCUCCUCAGGAAUGAAUUGGGAACUCACCAACAAGGAUUUCUGACAGGUAGAGAGUGUGAUACAAAAUAUAUAUGUGCAUAUAUAUAUAUAAUAUAUAAAUAAAUAUAUAUAUAUUUAUACACACACAUAUAAAAAUAUAUAAUACAUAUUUAUAUCACAAAGUAUCUAUCUCACAUAUAUCUGCCAUAUAUAUAUACACACAUAUAUAACCAAAAAUGUUUUUAUAUCACAAACUCUACCUAGAAACAUUCCCCCCUUUUUUUUCAGGAAUGUAACAUUUUUAGGGAUCCUAAAAUCAAACACAUGCAGUGCUCUGCAAAGGAAAAUAAAUCACAAUUUUAUCCCAUUAAUUCCAAGAUGUUUUCCUGGAUGUGCUGCUGGGUGUCUUCCUGUAAGCUCUUGUGGCUUAUCCAUGAAGGGUACUUGUAAUUUCAGGAUCAUGAAAUCCAUUUGGAAUUUUACUGUCUCUGGAGUGGGAUGAGUUUUUCCAAAAUUAUUCCUCACAGACUGAGCGCAUCUCCUCAAGUUCCUUCUCACUUUCUGCA